rnacentral:rRNA from 1 species
GUGGGGAAUCUUCCGCAAUGGACGAAAGUCUGACGGAGCGACGCCGCGUGAGUGAAGAAGGCCUUCGGGUCGUAAAGCUCUGUCAUCAGGGACGAACGGCCGGUGGAGUGGAAAGCCACCGGAUUGACGGUACCUGAGAAGGAAGCCACGGCUAACUACGUGCCAGCAGCCGCGGUAAUACGUAGGUGGCAAGCGUUGUCCGGAAUUAUUGGGCGUAAAGCGCGCGCCGGUGGGAUCUUAAGUCCAUUUUUAAAGUUCGGAGCUCAACUCCGUGAUGGGAGGGAGACUGGGAUUCUUGAGUACCGGGGAGGAAAGCGGAAUUCCCCGUGUAGCGGUGAAAUGCGUAGAGAUGUGGAAGAACACCAGGUGCGAAGGCGACUUUCUGGACGAUGUCUGACGCUGAGGCGCGAAAGCUAGGGGAGCGAACGGGAUUAGAUACCCUUGUAGUCC